rnacentral:rRNA from 1 species
AAUGAACGCUGGCGGCAGGCCUAACACAUGCAAGUCGAACGGAUCCUUCGGGAUUAGUGGCGGACGGGUGAGUAACGCGUGGGAACAUACCCUUUGGUACGGAAUCGCCUCGGGAAACUGGGAGUAAUACCGUAUGUGGUCGAGAGACGAAAGAUUUAUUGACCAAAGGAUUGGCCCGCGUUUGAUUAGGAAGUUGGUGGGGUAAUGGCCGACCAAGCCGACGAUCCAUAGCUGGUUUGAGAGGAUGAUCAGCCACACUGGGACUGAGACACGGCCCAGACUCCUACGGGAGGCAGCAGUGGGGAAUCUUAGACAAUGGGGGAAACCCUGAUCUAGCCAUGCCGCGUGAUCGAUGAAGGCCUUAGGGUUGUAAAGAUCUUUCAGGUGGGAAGAUAAUGACUGUACCACCAGAAGAAGCCCCGGCUAACUCCGUGCCAGCCGCCGCCGUAA